ACAUACGCAUCCUUUGCUGAAGGCAAUGGUUAACGGAGCGAAAGCGACGUUCAACCGCAAAACAAGCAGAGGGGGCUUAGUGGUGGGGUGACUGCGUACCUUUUGUAUAAUGGGUCAGCGACUUAUAUUCUGUAGCAAGGUUAACCGUAUAGGGGAGCCGGAGGGAAACCGAGUCUUAAUUGGGCGUUAAGUUGCAGGGUAUAGACCCGAAACCCGGUGAUCUAGCCAUGGGCAGGUUGAAGGUUGGGUAACACUAACUGGAGGACCGAACCGACUAAUGUUGAAAAAUUAGCGGAUGACCUGUGGCUGGGGGUGAAAGGCCAAUCAAACCGGGAGAUAGCUGGUUCUCCCCGAAAGCUAUUUAGGUAGCGCCUCGUGAAUUCAUCUCCGGGGGUAGAGCACUGUUUCGGCUAGGGGGCCAUCCCGGCUUACCAACCCGAUGCAAACUGCGAAUACCGGAGAAUGUUAUCACGGGAGACACACGGCGGGUGCUAACGUCCGUCGUGAAGAGGGAAACAACCCAGACCGCCAGCUAAGGUCCCAAAGUCAUGGUUAAGUGGGAAACGAUGUGGGAAGGCCCAGACAGCCAGGAUGUUGGCUUAGAAGCAGCCAUCAUUUAAAGAAAGCGUAAUAGCUCACUGGUCGAGUCGGCCUGCGC
rnacentral:rRNA from 1 species